GGUGACGUCACUGGGGCGGUAGGGUCCUUGCAGCUGGGCAGUCUUCUCAGCGUGUAGCCUGGUAACCACGACCUCUCCGCCAGGUCCUGUGUGUUGCUGGCUGGAGAAGGGUAGUUGAAAACUCAGACCAAGCACAGUGUUUAUUUUGGUCAAAACUGGAAGACUAUGUCCAGGCGCGGCCGAGGCUGGAGGAUCCCUUCAGGCCAAGAGCAGUCUAGCAAUAUGGCGCGACCGGAUCUCUGUAGUCCUACCUCAGCCCCCCAGCUACUUGAACCCCAAAGUUCGAGGCUCCAAUGAGCUAUGAUCCCACCACAGCAUUGCAGCCUGCCAGACUGAGACAAAGUUUCACACUUGUUGUUCAGGCUGGAGUUGCAAUCUCGGCUUACCACUAGUUCUGUCUCCCAGAUUCAAGAGAUUCUCCUGCCUCAGCCUCCCAAGUAGCUGGGACUAUAGGUGUUCGUCACCCCACCCAGACAUGAACUUAUGAAUUCAACACAUGAAGACUUACAACUUGAUAAACCAGCUUUAGGAGAUUGAGAAAACUUGUAUUCCUGUGAUUUCGAUAGCGAAGGAAGUAUGGUAUACCAGAAUCACUAAAUUAUGAAAGAUGGUGGAUCAGCUUUUUGCAAAAAAAUUUGCUGAAGCCUUGGGGAGCACUGAAGCCAAGGCGGUACCAUACCAAAAAUUUGAAACACAUGUGAAUGAGCUGAAUGUGGAAGGACUACCAGAAAACAUUCCUUUCAGAAGCCCCUCAUUAACAUGGAAUCCUAAGGCUCGAAAACAUCUUUCAAGUGGGCAAUCGAAUGAAGUUUGUUAUUAAGAGUAACUCCAGUUAGCCUCCAUUGUCUCCAAGCUGCCUUUCAUCCUCAUCCACAACUCCUCCACACAAGCUCUGAACACCUGUCCAUGCUGGAGUGCAAUGGUGCGAUCUUGGCUAACCACAACAUCUGCCUCCCGGAUUCAAGCAAUUCUCAUCCCUCAGCCUCCAGAGUAGCUGGGAUUACAGGCAUGCACCACCACACCUGGCUAAUUCUGUAAAAAUAGUAGAGACAGAGUUUCUUCAUGUUGGUCAGGCUGGUCUCAAACUCCCCACCUCAGGUGAUCUGGUCACCUCGGCCUCCCAAAGUGCUGGGAUUACAGGCGUGAGCCACUGCACCCAGUGAGUAUCACUCUUUAAUCAUAAAGUCAGAGUAUGUUAAGAUUGGAAGGGAUAUGGGAGACUAUUUGGUUCACUUUUCUCAUUGAUGAGAGAAUAACAGAGCAUUGAAAAGUAAGGUAAUUAUUCACAAUCUUAAAGCUAUAUGGGUCAAUCUGAAAUUAGCCUUCUUACAUCAGAUUCUGUAGCCUUUCCUACAUGUGUUCUCCCCAGACUGAGACAGUUCAUGGACCUUCAGGUUUGACAGUUUUCUCUCCAGUCUCCAAACAGGAGCUUUUAUCUGGAGGUUCUAGGUUAGCAUAGAUGGACGAUGACCCUGCAAUGUGUAGAAAAUCCCAAAGGUUGACCACUGUCAGUGGGAACCACCCCAGAUGUGUCAGGAGCACCACAGGCAUGCUCACUCCUCCAUUCACUGGAGCUGUGUAGGGUGGAAAGGAAACCCAAAUCAAGACCUGCUGCUGCUUUAGUUCUUUUAUUGCAUGUCACAAUCCAAUGUGUCUCCAUUUAAAUUCAGAUUUUUUGAUAGAUGGUCAGACCAGCUGCAGGCCCUUUGGGCCAGAAGUCUCGAUCUUUUAUUAUAAUUUUAUUAUUAUUAUACUUUAAGUUUUAGGGUACAUGUGCACAAUGUGCAGGUUUGUUACAUAUGUAUACAUGUGUCACGUUGGUGUGCUGCACCCGUUAACUCGUCAUUUAGCGUUAGGUAUAUCUUGUAAUGCUAUCCCUCCCCUCUUCCCCCACCCCACAACUGUCCCCGGUGUGUGAUGUUCCCCUUCCUGUGUCCAUGUGUUCUCAUUGUUCAGUUCUCAGCUAUGAGUGAGAACAUGAGGUGUUUGUUUUUUUGUCCUUGUGUUAGUUUGCUGAGAAUGAUGGUUUCCAGCUUCAUCCAUGUCCCUACAAAGACAUGAACUCAUCAUUUUUUAUGGCUUCAUAGUAUUCCAUGGUGUGUAUGAGCCACAUUUUCUUAAUCCAGUCUAUCAUUAUUGGAUAUUUGGGUUGGUUCCAAGUCUUUGCUAUUGUGAAUAGUGCUGCAAUAAACAUACAUGUGCAUGUGUCUUUA